rnacentral:misc_RNA from 1 species
UGGUUCUGGCAUCGGUGAAGAACGCAGCGAAAUGCGAUAAGUAAUGUGAAUUGCAGAAUUCAGUGAAUCAUCGAAUCUCUGAACGCACAUUGCGCCCACCAGUACUCUGAUGGGCAUGCCUGUCCGAGCGUCAUUUCAACCCUCGGGCCCCCCUUCCGGGGGGGUCGCCCGGUGUUGGGGACCGGCCGCCUCACCGCGGCCGCCCCCGAAAUCCAGUGGCGGUCCCGCCGCAGCCUCCCCUGCGUAGUAGCACACCUCGCACCGGAGAGCGGCGCGGCCACGCCGUGAAACCCCCCACUUCCAAAGGUUGACCUCGGAACAGGUAGGAAUACCCGCUGA